rnacentral:rRNA from 1 species
GUGCCAGCAGCCGCGGUAAUACGUAGGGGGCAAGCGUUGUCCGGAUUUAUUGGGCGUAAAGAGCUCGUAGGCGGUUCGACAAGCCGACGGUGAAAUCUCCACGCUCAACGUGGAGGGGUCCGUCGGAACUGUCGUGACUCGAGUCCGGUAGGGGAGUGUGGAAUUCCCGGUGUAGCGGUGAAAUGCGCAGAGAUCGGGAGGAACACCCGUAGCGAAGGCGGCACUCUGGGCCGGUACUGACGCUGAGGAGCGAAAGCGUGGGGAGCAAACAGGAUUAGAUACCCGCGUAGUCC